rnacentral:lncRNA from 1 species
GGGAGAAGCACCACGUUCCCACCCGCUGAGGGCUGUUGCGAAGAGUCCAAAGCCCUGAGCACGGCGCCCACCACCCGGCGAAGGCUGUGUACGUGUGAGUCUCAGUACUGUUAUUUUGUAGCCAGUGUUAUCGGACCGCAGGACUCAGGGCGGUGCUUCGCCCCCUUCCCACAGCUCAGCGCCCGGAGCGCGCGACCCUCGGCCUCUCCCGCACCUGCCCAAGGUCCCGGGCGGGGGUGCGGCUGCACCUCGGGCGCCGGCGCUGCCCCACGAGCGAGGGAAGCGGAAGGAGCGGCGCGUCGGCCAGCCGGGCAGGCACACGGUGGGUGCCCCGGGGACGGCGGCGGACACCCGGAAGCCAGUGGCCCGGUGAGUGCACGCUCCCCCCACCCACGGCGCGGCGGAACGCGCGGCCGCCCCGACGCUCCCGAGGGUGUAUCCGCUGCAGCGACACCCGCUCGCACAACAAAGAAGCUCGCCUCCGUGGGCCGCCUCCCCGCGGCGCCCCCCACGCACGCCGCGGGACCGAGAGGCCGCGCGACCCCCGGCCCCACCCCCCCCUCCCCGCCCCGGGAGCCGGCCCGGCGGGCGCACCCGCACCCGCAGCCGGCACGCAGCCGGGGUGGCGCCCGAGGGGCGCGCGGCGACGCCGCCUCCAGCCGCGAUUUAAAGGGCAGCGAGGGGCGGAGGGAUCCCGGCAGACCUCGGCGCGGAUCCCUCCGCCGCGGGCGACGCGAGGCGGCGGCUCGUCUCCCCUCGCUCCCCAGAUUCGCUUUUUGUCCCUCCGCCCCCGGGAGCACCCAGCGAGGAACUCGUUUCCUCCCCGUGUUUCUCCGCCUCCGCCGCCCCCCGCCCCCCCGCAAGUCCCGUAAAAGCAACAGAGGCCGCAGCAGUGGCGCGAGGCGGCGCGGUGUCCCUCCGCCCGGCCGAGGGCACUCCUUUUCGUGUCCUUCCACCGUUCCCGGGCGGCGUCCGGGCGGCUCACCGGGGGCGGCGACGCGUCUGCGGCGCGGGAGGCGAGGCUCCGGGGCUAUGAGGUGA